GAUGAACGCUGGCGGCGUGCCUAAUACAUGCAAGUCGAGCGAACAGAUAAGGAGCUUGCUCCUUUGAAGUUAGCGGCGGACGGGUGAGUAACACGUGGGUAACCUACCUAUAAGACUGGGAUAACUUCGGGAAACCGGAGCUAAUACCGGAUAACAUUUAGAACCGCAUGGUUCUAAAGUGAAAGAUGGUUUUGCUAUCACUUAUAGAUGGACCCGCGCCGUAUUAGCUAGUUGGUAAGGUAACGGCUUACCAAGGCGACGAUACGUAGCCGACCUGAGAGGGUGAUCGGCCACACUGGAACUGAGACACGGUCCAGACUCCUACGGGAGGCAGCAGUAGGGAAUCUUCCGCAAUGGGCGAAAGCCUGACGGAGCAACGCCGCGUGAGUGAUGAAGGUUUUCGGCUCGUAAAACUCUGUUAUUAGGGAAGAACAAAUGUGUAAGUAACUGUGCACAUCUUGACGGUACCUAAUCAGAAAGCCACGGCUAACUACGUG
rnacentral:rRNA from 1 species